rnacentral:rRNA from 1 species
AGCGGAAGGCCCUUCGGGGUACUCGAGCGGCGAACGGGUGAGUAACACGUGAGCAACCUGCCCCUGACUCUGGGAUAAGCCCGGGAAACUGGGUCUAAUACCGGAUACGACCGCCCCCGGCAUCGGGUGGUGGUGGAAAGUUUUUUCGGUUGGGGAUGGGCUCGCGGCCUAUCAGCUUGUUGGUGGGGUAGUGGCCUACCAAGGCGACGACGGGUAGCCGGCCUGAGAGGGCGACCGGCCACACUGGGACUGAGACACGGCCCAGACUCCUACGGGAGGCAGCAGUGGGGAAUAUUGCGCAAUGGGCGGAAGCCUGACGCAGCGACGCCGCGUGGGGGAUGACGGCCUUCGGGUUGUAAACCUCUUUCAGCAGGGACGAAGUUGACGUGUACCUGCAGAAGAAGCGCCGGCUAACUACGUGCCAGCAGCCGCGGUAAUACGUAGGGCGCAAGCGUUGUCCGGAAUUAUUGGGCGUAAAGAGCUCGUAGGUGGCUGGUCGCG